rnacentral:lncRNA from 1 species
CUGAAACACUGAGGAUAGGUGUCCAUUUUCAGAUUCAUGUGUCCGUGCCAGAGGCAUUUUCUGAAAUUUCUGGAUCUCAGAAAUGUUACAGUGUAGAAAAAAGAAGGCAUGCUUCUGAACCGAGGACAGCAACAUGGCAGAAGAGAAGGCGACUGCUCCCAGGAAGGAAGAGUGAUUUGACAGGAGUAAGGUGCGUGGCCUGGUUCUUGUCAAAGGCAGAAACGCAAGUGUGGUCUCCAUAUUCCUGAGAAAUCACAGCACGGGGGCAGCAGUGCCUUGGACAGCAGGUCUUGAAACUGGUCUCCUGGAAACAAUCAAGCUUUUCAUUGCAUCACAAGAGACCUCAGAUGAAAGAGAUGCUCUCCUGGACUGUGAUCAUGUGCUGUGACCAAAUCUGCUGUGAAGCCGUUGGCCAGGGAUACGCUGCUUCCAACCCUACUGAGACAUGCAUUACAUAAAACAAUGUCUUAGCCAGGAUGUAUCUUUUUAAUCACAACAAUAUUAGAGGUGAUAAUUGCCCCCCCAAAAAAGUUGAGUCAAUUAUGCUGGAAUAUUUGAUUAGCCCUAAUAACCAAAUGUUAUUAAACCCACCCAAUUAAGCCUCCAAUUAUGAGGAAGUUGCAAGAUUUUCUGAAUUUUACUUAAUAAGGCUGUUAGCUUGAAGAUUAUUGUCAUUUUGUUCUAACACCACAAAAACCUGUCUUGGAGGAGACUAAAGUGGGG